rnacentral:lncRNA from 1 species
CUCUCUAGUACGUACUGUACAUCGUUACGUUUUCAAUUCCUCAAAUAACAGUACAACGGUUGGUCGCAAAUUUACCCUAGAGCUUCGAUCAAUAUAUGCAUCAAUUUUGCAGAUGCACAACGAGUGAGGAAACAUCUUUACCAAUUGCUUCUUCAAUUCCUUGGGUUAUUGCAGCUAAUUUUCCCCAAUAUCUGUUUUAUCUCUCUCGCAAAUUCGAGGUAUGAUUUCUAUUAUAUCUAGUUGCUCCAUUUCUAUCAAAAUUAUUCAAAAUUAGUUUUAUUACUUGGUUGUUCGAGCUACUCUUAUUCUUCCUAUUUUAUUCGAUCAGAAUCUGUCAUUUUUUAAAAUUUGUACAGCUCAAUAAUUUAUUAUGAUAUUUAUCAAUUUGUGGAUGGUUAAUUAUUGUCUCUUUAUCGUCUAGCUACUAGGAAUAGCAAUAAAAUUUAGCAGGUGCCGAGUGGGGCGGGUUUACUGCUAUGCGGAUCAGGGUGGGGCAGUCUCAAAGUGGGGCAGGGUUGGGCGAGGUGCGAUAGAGUCUUAGCUUUUUAAAACUGUGGGGUUGUGGUGCGGGGACAGAGCCUUCAUGUUUGUUUGAUCUGGCUAUACAUUUUUAUUUUCUGUUAAUAUGAUGUGCUAUGUACUUUGGAUAUCUCUAUUGUAUUUUGGAUAUUGUACAUCUUUAUUUUCUGUUAAUAUGAUGUGUUAUGUACUUUCUGCUGACAGAGUAUAUAACCUUUGAUAGAAGGUUGUGGAGGAUACAAUCAGUGUAGUAGGUUAGUAGGUAGUGAUAGUAUAGUGUGGUUUUGCGUAUCCUUCCUUAUUAGCUGUAGUAGCAUUACUUGAAUUCAUUUGUUAUUGAUGCUUCAAAAUUUGAUGAACGAAUGUAUUGAAUUGUAUUCUGACUUUUGUUGUUUAUAUAAGUAUUGAAUUGUGUAGAAUAUUACUACUAUUAAAUAAUUAUAAUUGUGUAAUGGGUCAUUGCGUUUCCCUUGUUAAUUCGGGUAAUAUACUGUGUAUUUCGGAGAACAAAUAUCAAGAUUAUGAUGCUUUUUCUAUUGCAUUUUGGAUGUUGUACAUCUUUGUUUUCUUUUAAUAUUACAUGCAAUGUAUAUUCAAUUUUCCGAGGAACUUAUCGAGAAUAUGAUCUUAGAUAGGAGGUUGUGGAGGACACAGAUAGAUUGACAAGUAGUAGUAGUAGAGCCAUGGUGGUUUUGCUUAUCCACUUCCCUAUUAGUAGUCAUAGCAUUACUCCUCUGGUUUCGUGUUAUUAGAUUUUUAUUACUAUCUUCCGUUUUUUGUAAUUUGAUUGUCGUAUUUUUUUUUUGUAGUUACUUUUGAGAAUGUUUGUUCAUAUUUUCUAUAGUAUUUUGUUGUGGUUUCUGUAUUUUUGUUAAAUUUUUUUUCGGGCUGCUUUGAACUAUUUUUUUCUUGAGCUGAGGGUCUUUUGGAAGCAUCCUUUCUACCUCUUACGUAGGGGUAAGGUCUGUGUACAUCUACUCUACCUAGACCCUACUUUAUGCCCUGAAUAUCAACAAAUUAUCAUCGUAUGAAAACUGAUGUGUACACCAUUCAGUAGUGUUUUCACUUUCUUGUCAUAAGAUAAUAGUGUUUUCACUUGUCAUCUUCUACUACUUUUCUCUAACUGUUCUUGUAUGUAACCCUUUUAAGCCUUCACAUAUCAUUUAAGGGAAGGUGGUAAUUUAAUGAUCCAAUAUUAGGGACUUUGAUUCCUGCCUAUAAUUGUUGUUUAAAGAAUAUCACGUAAAUCGCUAAACCUUGCCUUUCUUUUCCUUGCAUAAAAUCAUUAACUCUAUUUUCAAUAAUUUCUUACUGCCAAAACUAAAUAGUGCAGCAGAGUCCUAAUUGAAUAGUCAAGGUGCUUGCAAGUUAGCACACACACCACUAUUUUGUUGAAGCUUGUACUUUCGUUGAAGAACUUGAAUAAACUGGUGUGCUUAAGGUAGAUGAAAAACAAAUGGCCUAGUGUUUCUGCUUUUGUAGGAAUUGAAAAGCCUAGUCUCCAAGGUUUACGCCUACUUUAUUGACCACUAGAUAACACCCUUAGGUGCACCACAAAACUCUUCUACUAAUACCAAAUGGCCAACCAGGAAAUAGAUGCCCAAUUAUCAUUUAUACUUAGGUGCUUAUACCAAAGAGAGCAGAAAGAGGAAAUAUCUUGACAACAAAACUAACUACAGUAAUAAAAGUAAAGUAUUUUAAACUAGUCCAAGAUAGUGGAUCAUCACUGUUUAAAGACUAAAAGAGAACAAAGAAACAUAGGUAAUCACUGCAUACGGGCUAUUGAGUGCUCAAAAUAAAAUUACUCAUUAAUAUCAGAAAUUUCUUCGUGGUUUUUCUAAAUGUAAAAACAUCAAAGAAAUUUCCAGGUAACAAAUGGUACCUUAUUAGGGCAAACAUCAGCAUAAACAUGAUCUUUCUUUGAAAUAGCCUUACUUUCCAUGUUAAGCUCAUGAUGCUCUAUGCUGUCGAAAAUCAAAUCUGAAGACAUCUCUGCACCAGAAAAUGCAGAAAAAUCUAGUGACCUUUCGACAGUUAGAUUGAGAACAAGUGAUUCUCGAUCUGUCAUUUUUUGUGUUUGGGCUUACACAAGGUAUGUUGUUGUUGUGAUGUGCGAUGUACUACUACUUGUGUUAAAGAUGAUAGCUGGAAGCUGACAUCGACAUAACCAUGGUGUCUGGACCAACUUACAUGGACCUCAAUUAGUUUCAUGGAGUAAGUCUAUCUUAACAGGUAGCUCUGACAUUAGGACUUUGUAAUUAUGCAUAUGGAAGUGUAAAGUGGUUGCCGCCACGAUCCAUGCAAAUAGUUGUGGUUUUCAAUUCUGUUGCAGCUUUGCUAUUAGUUUCUUUACAGGGAUUUAUCUAAGUUAUAGGUAGUGACUUAUGGGAUUUUACUAGAGAUGUUGUUAUUGUUGUUGUAAUAGAGACUUUAUCUGAGUCAAGGGGAAUUCAAGAAUAGUUUUUCGCUACACUGUUGUUAUAGUAUAUGUGUUGUG